AGCCUUUUCAAUGUUAUGGCUCUGAUUGUACUGGAUUUCUGUGUUUUUAAGGUAGCAACAGGGACCUUCUUGCUUGUACCCCUUUAGACUCCAAUAAGAUAUUCAGUUACAGCUGUGUCAAAAGGAGGAACUCUUAAUCAAACCCGUAUGCAUAUAUCACACUAGAUGUUACUCUCUGAGAUAUCCUACUGCUUUGGAAACAUCUGACUGUCCAAUUUAAUGUUCAUUAUAGAGGAGCAUUGGAAACCAUGAGUGCAUGUGCUGUGCUUGCUGUAAUCCACCAAAGAUUCUCUUGUCAUUGAAAAUUGUUGCAUUCAAUGAUUCUCUGACCAAAUCAGCUUCCAAAAACACGAAUUGUCCAUAGACUGUAAAUGCCAGUCACAACCUGUAGACAUGGACAUAAAACAUCUUACAAUUACUAGACACAAAACUAUUUCUAUAUUGGUAUUUUCCAGUGGUAGGCCUCCACAAUGUAAAUGUAUAGUUGUCACAUUUCAAAUAUGCACAAUAACUCAGUAAAAUGCAUGUCACAUUGAGAAUUGUGAAUGGAAAAACCACUUGCCAGUUGCUAGACCAAAGAGGUUUCUCCGUAAGAAGG